AUACGGAGGAUGCGAGCGUUAUCCGGAUUCAUUGGGUAUAAAGGGUGCGUAGGCGGCCCCCCAAGUCAGCGGUGAAAUGUCCGGGCCCAACCCGGAGGGUGCCGUUGAUACUGCGGGGCUGGAGUACGGACGCCGGCGGAGGCAUGAGUGGUGUAGCGGUGAAAUGCAUAGAUAUCACUCAGAACACCGAUUGCGAAGGCAUCCGCCGAGGCCGUUACUGACGCUGAGGCACGAAAGCGUGGGGAUAGAACAGGAUUAGAUACCCUGGUAUUCCACGCCGUAAACGAUGAUGACUAACCGCCGGGCGGAAUGACGUCCGGCAGCCAAGCGAAAGCGAUAAGUCAUCCACCUGGGGAGUACGGCCGCAAGGCUGAAACUCAAAGGAAUUGACGGG
rnacentral:rRNA from 1 species